rnacentral:lncRNA from 1 species
AGAAGAUGAUAUUGCGAGUUUAUUAUAUACCAGGCACUAUUGUCAGCCCUUCACCUGGAUUAAUUCAAAAACCCCUACAAUCCGUAAUACCACCGCCCAGGUCCUUCUGUGGUUGGAAUUUAGACGUCGAGGCAUUUCUACCAUGCUGACUCUCAGCCAGCAGGCAGAGAUGGAUCAGCUCCAGUCCCCACACUUGAGGAACUCUGAGCCAAGUUGGAGAGAGAAACUCAUAAAGAACAAACUGCAGCAAAAGGAGAUUUUUGGCUGGUUCAAGUUCGACAGGCAAUUUCAACACUGAGAUUGGGGGGAGAGGAUAUAGCCUGUAAAAGAGCAGACGGUGUGUGUCUUGUGAUGUUACUGGUUUUAGAGGGACCCUAAGAGGGUACGUACAUGAAUUGAGUCUAUUCGGCUAGGUCCCCCGAUUUAUGGCACCCCACCGUCUGCAACUAGUAGUGGCCCCCACUCCCAGUUCUUUGGUCUGCUAUCCUUCUCCGUUCAUAACCCUGCCCCUCUUCCCAAUGCAUCCACCCAUCUAGUGCAUGUUCUUUUGGGAUGUCUUCUGUAUCUUUAUUCACAUGUAUUUAAAUAUAUAACAUUGCCUUGCGUGUGCUUUUAAAAGCCUAUGGAAGUGAUAUUGUUGUACAAAUAAUCCUGCUUCUGACUUUUUUCUUUUGACGUUAUCUGUAAGGAGAUGUAAGUCAUUCCCUUUGACUGGUGGAAUAUUUCAUCUUGUGCAUUUUCCAUGUUUUACUUAUCCAUUUCUUUACUAAUGGAGGUACAAGUUGCUUCCGAUUCUUUG